rnacentral:lncRNA from 1 species
UUUUUUUAAAGAAAGGAUGUUAGAGAGCUGGGGAGAUGGCUCGGUUAGAAAAGUGCCUGACGCACAAGCAGAAGGCCUAGACUGAGAUCUCCAGCACCCACAGAAGAGUCAAGCAUCUGAUGGACAGUUGCAACCCUAGAAAUGGGAGUGCCGGCUGACCAGCCAAUGAGCAAGCUCCCAGAUCUGGGAAAAGACCCUGUCUCAAAAACUAAGAUGGACAGCCAUAGACGGAAACAAACAGUAUCGACCUGUGGCCCCCAAAUGCAUGUGCACUACGCAUGUGCACAAAUGCUAAAAAGGAAAAAGAUCGUGGAAAGGGGAUAAUCUGGUAAGUCUAAGAGGCAGGGUUCGGUUCCCAGCACUGACACUGCACCCCACAGCUACCUGCCUCAGGAGAUCCAACUCUCCUGGCCUGUGCUGGCACCAGCCAUGCACACGGGUCAUGUACAUGCAGGUAGGCAAAACAGCCAUGAAAUAAAUAAACCUUUUAAAAUUAGGAUUUUCGAGUGGGUGUGGUAGGAACACACCUGUAACCCCAGCAUCUCUGUAAACUGA